AUUGAACGCUGGCGGCAGGCCUAACACAUGCAAGUCGAGCGGCAGCGGGAAAGUAGCUUGCUACUUUUGCCGGCGAGCGGCGGACGGGUGAGUAAUGCCUGGGAAAUUGCCCAGUCGAGGGGGAUAACAGUUGGAAACGACUGCUAAUACCGCAUACGCCCUACGGGGGAAAGCAGGGGACCUUCGGGCCUUGCGCGAUUGGAUAUGCCCAGGUGGGAUUAGCUAGUUGGUGAGGUAAUGGCUCACCAAGGCGACGAUCCCUAGCUGGUCUGAGAGGAAGAUCAGCCACACAGGAACUGAGACACGGUCCAGACUCCUACGGGAGGCAGCAGUGGGGAAUAUUGCACAAUGGGGGAAACCCUGAUGCAGCCAUGCCGCGUGUGUUAAGAAGGCCUUCGGGUUGUAAAGCACUUUCAGCGAGGAGGAAAGGUUGAUGCCUAAUACGUAUCAACUGUGACGUUACUCGCAGAAGAAGCACCGGCUAACUCCGUGCCAGCCGCCGCCGUAA
rnacentral:rRNA from 1 species